AACUGGGCCAGCCAAGUGCCCCACAUCUUACAUUUUAAAUAAGAGAUGGUAAAAUGUUCAAUCUCAUCAAUAAUCAAAGAUAUGCAAAGUUAGCAAUGUGGUUAUUGCCAUAUUACGAAAAUAUUAACAAAUAUUGAAAAGAUUGGUAAUAUCCAGUAUUGUUAAGAGUGUGAGAAAGCAGGUCCUCUAUGGCACCUUCUUGAGAACAACGGGUAGUGUUGAUUGAAAUGUGAAACGUACAUUUGUCUUAGCAGUUUCACAUCUAGAAAUGGAUCUAUCAGAGAUGUUAGUACAAGUAUAAAAAGACAUGGGGUGUGUGUGUGUGUGUGUGUGUGUGUGUGUGUGUGUGUGUGUCUGCAUUGCUGGGAUUGAUGAAAAACUGGAGAGACCACUUAAAAUGUCAUCAAGGGAGGGCUGGUUCUGGGCACCUGGCUGGCUCAGUCAGUGGAGCAUGGGACUCUUGAUCUUGGGGUUGUGAAUUCAAGCCCCCAUGUUAAGUCUAGAGAUUACUUUAAAAAGAUCUUUUAAAAACGAAAGAGGGCUGGUUAAAUACUUUGCACUUACUGUACUGUGCAGCUGGGGAGAGUUGUGGAAGACUUCCUAGAAGCCUGUUUAAGUUGUGAACUAAAAACUUAAUAGGGUACACCUGACUGGCUCCGUUGGUAGAGUGUGUGAGUCUUGACUUCAGGGUUGUAAGUUCAGGCCUCAUGUUGGGUGUAGAGAUUACUUACAAAUAUCUUAAAAAAAAAAAA